UACCCCGUAGCUCAUACAGUGGUUAGAGCGACCGGUGUACGGACGGUCAUGGGUUCAAAUCCCGUCGGGGAUUCAA